CUCCAGCCUUCACCCACCAGGCUGGUCCCGGCAAAACACUGGUACCAACGGAAAUACUACAAUAAUCAGACAAAAAUCUCAGCCCCACCGGCUGUAAUGCAUUCCCUGCCCGCUAGGCAGUCAAGUUAACAUAAAAACCCAGCCCCACCGGCUGUAAUGCGUUCCCUGCCCGCUAGGCAGUCAAGCUAACAUAAAAACCCAGCCCCACCGGCUGUAAUGCGUUCCCUGCCCGCUAGGCAGUCAAGCAAACAUAAACCGCGUUCCCUGCCCGCUAGGCAGUCAAGCAGACAUAAAUUGCGUUCCCUGCCCGCUAGGCAGUCAAGCAAACAUGUAAAAUGCGUUCCCUGCCCGCUAGGCAGUCAAGCAAACAUAUAAAUUGCGUUCCCUGCCCGCUAGGCAGUCAAGCAAACAUAAACUGCGUUCCCUGCCCGCUAGGCAGUCAAGCAAACAUAUACUGCGUUCCCUGCCCGCUAGGCAGUCAAGCAAACAUAUAAAAUGCGUUCCCUGCCCGCUAGGCAGUCAAGCAAACAUAUAAAAUGCGUUCCCUGCCCGCUAGGCAGUCAAGCAAACAUAAACUGCAUUCCCUGCCCGCUAGGCAGUCAAGCAAACAUAUAAAAUGCGUUCCCUGCCCGCUAGGCAGUCAAGCAAACAUAAACUGCGUUCCCUGCCCGCUAGGCAGUCAAGCAAACAUAUAAAAUGCGUUCCCUGCCCGCUAGGCAGUCAAGCAAAC